rnacentral:rRNA from 1 species
GGGGCCCGCGGGCGAGGGGCACCNACNSGAGGCSNCCGGGGCCSSGGSAGCCGGCCGGACCUGACUGCUAUCGGAUUGGUACUAAGCCAUGCGAGUCAUUGUAGCAAUACAAGGCGGACGGCUCAGUAACACGUAGUCAACCUAACUCGUGGACGUGGAUAACCUCGGGAAACUGAGAAUAAACCACGAUAGAUCAUAGUGCCUGGHAUGGCUUAUGGUCCAAACAGUUUACUGCCAUGGGAUGGGACUGCSGCCUAUCAGCUUGUUGGUGAGGUAAUGGCUCACCAAGCCUUUUACCGGUGCGGGCCGUGAGAGCGGGAGCCCGGAGAUGGGCACUGAGACAAGGGCCCAGGCCCUACGCGCGCGCAGCAGGCGCGAAACCUCUGCAAUAGGCGAAAGCUGACAGGGUUACUCUGAGUGAUUUCCGUUAAGGAGAUCUUUUSGCACCUCUAAAAAUSGUGCAGAAUAAGGGGUGGGCAAGUCUGGUGUCAGCCGCCGCGGUAAUACCAGCUCUCCGAGUGGUGUGGAUGUUUAUUGGGCCUAAAGCAUCCGUAGCUGGCUAAGUUAGUCCCUUGUUAAAUCCACCGAAUUAAUCGUUGGAUUGCCGGGGAUACUUCUUGGCUAGGGGACGAGAGAGGCAGACGGUAUUUCCCGGGUAGGGGUGAAAUCCUAUAAUYCCGGGAAGACCACCAGUGGCGAAGGCUKUCUGCUAGAACGCGCCCGACGGGUGAGGGAUGAAAGUUGGGGAGCGAACCGGAUUAGAUACCCGGUAGUCCAGCUGUAAACGAUGCAGGUUAGGUGUUUGACGGCCACGUGCCGUUUUAGUGCCCAGGGAAGUUUUUAAGCCUUCCGCUUGGGGAGKUACGRUCGCAAG